rnacentral:rRNA from 1 species
UACGGAGGGAGCUAGCGUUGUUCGGAAUUACUGGGCGUAAAGCGCACGUAGGCGGACAUUUAAGUCAGGGGUGAAAUCCCAGAGCUCAACUCUGGAACUGCCUUUGAUACUGGGUGUCUUGAGUAUGGAAGAGGUGAGUGGAAUUCCGAGUGUAGAGGUGAAAUUCGUAGAUAUUCGGAGGAACACCAGUGGCGAAGGCGGCUCACUGGUCCAUUACUGACGCUGAGGUGCGAAAGCGUGGGGAGCAAACAGG